GAUGAACGCUGGCGGCGUGCCUAAUACAUGCAAGUCGAGCGAACAGACGAGGAGCUUGCUCCUCUGACGUUAGCGGCGGACGGGUGAGUAGCACGUGGAUAACCUACCUAUAAGACUGGGAUAACUUCGGGAAACCGGAGCUAAUACCGGAUAAUAUAUUGAACCGCAUGGAUCAAUAGUGAAAGACGGUUUUGCUGUCACUUAUAGAUGGAUCCGCGCCGCAUUAGCUAGUUGGUAAGGUAACGGCUUACCAAGGCAACGAUGCGUAGCCGACCUGAGAGGGUGAUCGGCCACACUGGAACUGAGACACGGUCCAGACUCCUACGGGAGGCAGCAGUAGGGAAUCUUCCGCAAUGGGCGAAAGCUUGACGGAGCAACGCCGCGUGAGUGAUGAAGGUCUUCGGAUCGUAAAACUCUGUUAUUAGGGAAGAACAAAUGUGUAAGUAACUAUGCACGUCUUGACGGUACCUAAUCAGAAAGCCACGGCUAACUACGUG
rnacentral:rRNA from 1 species